rnacentral:lncRNA from 1 species
ACUCUCCUGUGAAACUAACCUAUUGUCCUUAGACUUAGUUUAUGAGCCCCUGUUACUGUUUUCUCCCAGGAUACCCUUUGUGGUUCAGGCAAAUAAACACCUGAUGGGCACAGUCUCUCUGCCCUCCAGACAGCUGGAUAUGUAUUGAAUUUGGGCAUCCCUGGGACUGUGGAGUUGAGAGUGGCUUAGGUCAGUCAGAUCUCUGACUUGCUAUCUAUCUAUAGUGACAGGUAUAUAGACAAAGGACUAGAAGACCCCCAAAGUCCUUAAAGGGAAUAAUUUGCCCAAGGCUACUGUUAUGCAGAAUCACAUCUGGCACUUUAGUCUAGAUCUUUCUAACUCCGGAGUCCUAAACUUUUAAUAUUUCUCAUUUCUGGUCCAUCUUUAGAUCUUUCUAACUCUGGAGUCCUAAACUUUUAAUCUUUCUCAUUUCUGGUCCAUCUUUAACCUACUCUGAACACAGUAGAGUAGGUAUAAAAUAAAUAUUUACAUCAGCACCAAACCCACUGUGUGGCAAGAUGAAAACACUGUGAACACAAUACACAUGUGACACUAUUGAACUGAUUUUUUUUCAUUUUUUUUUCAUUUUUUUAUUACUCAAAUGAAUUUAUCAAAUCUGUAGUUGUAUAAUGAUCAUAACAAUCUGAUUUCACAGGAUUUUCAUCCCACAGCCCAAGCACAUCCCUCCACCUCCCAAACUGUCUCCUCCGGAGACCAUAAGUUUUUCAAUGUCUGUGAGUCAGCAUCUGUUCUGCAAAGAAGUUCCGUCUGUCCUUUUUUCAGAUUCCACAUGUCAGUGAAAGCAUUUGAUGUUGGUGUCUCAUUGUAUGGCUGACUUCACUUAGCAUGAUAGUUUCUAGGUCCAUCCAUGUUGCUAAAAAUGCUGGUAUUUCGUUCUUUUUGAUGGCUGAGUAAUAUUCCAUUGUGCAUAUGUAUCACAUUUUCUGGAUCCACUCCUCUGUCGAUGGACAUUUAGGUUGUUUCCAUGUCUUGUCUAUUGCAAAUAGUGCUGCAAUGAACAUCGGAGUACAUGUGUCUUUGCGAGUCAUGGUUUUCUCUGGAUAGAUGCCCAGGAGUGGGAUUGCUGGAUCAAAUGGGAGUUCUAUUUUUAGUUUUCUGAGGAAUCUCCAUACUGCUUUCCAUGAGGAACUGAUUUUGAGUAAGAAUUUUCUAUAAAAUCUUGAAAAAAUUUUUUGGCUGUACCGCAUGCAAAAGUUUCCAGGCCAGGGAUCGAACCCAUGCCACAGUAGCAGUCUGAACCACAGCAGUGAUGAUGCCAGAUCCUUACUUAACCUGCUAGGCCACCAGGGAACUCCCCAAAGCUUGAUUUUUUAAGACACAAAAUAACCCAGAGUCUUUAUGGUCUGCCUUAGAGCUGAUGAUGAUUUCUGACAAUAAUUAUUUGCAGUAAUUUUUUUUUUUCCCUAGAGACUUUAAAAAAAACUCACGAAGUUUUCUAUGAGAUGUUUCUUUUAGGUGUAUACAUUUAAAAAAAUACAAUUUAUAGGUCAGUGCCUUAUUUUUUUUAGGUGAGACUAUAGAAAAAUUGGGAACAUCGUAUCAUAAUAAAAAUGACUUUUAUUUACUUGGGAAGGACUUUUUAGUUGUGAGGGAUCCUUUCUUUUUAUGUGCUUGUUACUGUUCACUAUAAGAAUUAUUUUAUUCCGUUGGAAAAUUCAGUUUACUGUUUGGAAAGCAGCUGAUCUGUCUACAUGGGAAAUGCUACAAUAUAUUCAAAAGCUGCACAUACUCCCUGUUCUUUUUCCUUGGAAAUUCAGGGUACAGUAACGCUGUUUAUUUGCUGUUAUUCACAAUAGUGAUAGCAUACUAGGCUCUGCAUAGAAUAAUAUAUACGGAUACAUUUGCAUCCAUAUACAUAAAUACAUACAUAAGAAUGAGUCCCUCAUACCUAUAGGCACAUUCCAGCCCGCCCAUCUUUUCAUAGAUAUAUAAGAUUUUCCUUCCACCCUGGGAGUUUGAUUUACACAAUGAUAGGACUUCUUUUAUACUUGCUAAUUCUAUUCUCUAUUAUAUUCCAAAAGGAAUCAUAUUAUCUGCCUUGUCCGAUUUGCUUCUGUGUCUCAUUAAAGUGGCCUGCUGUGAAGCUAAUUUUUCUUGUUCACUUUAUUGAUAUUUUGGGAGAGGGAGAUUUUUUUCCAAGCAGUUCCUGCUUUAGUAUAGGGUUGUAGUAGCUGUCAAAAGAAGGCUUUAAAAACCAUCGUCUAAAAUAAAUCAAAAAUAAAAGCAGCUUAUUUUAGUAUCUCUAUUGAAAUCUAAAUUACAGGUCAUUGAUCUUUUUCCCCACUUCCUUGCAAUUAUUUUUAUUGAAUUUUUAAAAGUAAGACAAUGCAGUGUAUUAAAAAAAAAAAGCAAAUAAACCUCCAUGAUAAGAAUAGUACCAAAUGGUUUUUAAAUCGCAACAGCACACAUUUUACAGGAGAAAAGCUUAAUAAAACCUAGCCUUGUUUUUAUUUACUACAAUAGAAAAUAAAGCGUGGCAGUGAUUAGGUUAGUACAAUUAUGAAUCAAUCUGAAGUCUCACCGUGGAGGGACAUGGUUUAAUUUUAAAAAGCUCAAUUAUUCUUGUCAGGUCAACUACUUUUUAUAUAUCUAUAUUGAUAUAGCUAUAGCUAUAUAAUAUGAUAUAUAAAUAAUAUACAAAUAUGUGCAUCAUUAUAAUAUAUAAUAUGUAUAAAUAUAUAAUUAUAUAUGCACAUUGGAAUAUAUUUUAAAACAAUAAUCUUUAUAUAUGUAUAAUGAUAUAUUUUAAAUAAUACAUAGCAAGGCCACAAACAGAAAGAGAUGUUUUCUAAGCAUCUGUUGCUUGCCUAGGAGAUGGAAGUCUGGUGCUUUGCCUUAGAAGCAGGUGAGAGCAUGCAAGGCAGGACUGCCUGGUUUUGAUCCCUGGCUCCACUCCUUCCCUUCAUCUUUCUGAGCCUCAGUUGGUCCUUCUGCAAACUAAGGAUAGAAUGCUUUCCUCAUGAGUCUUUCAGGGACUUAGGUGAAUUUAUACUUGUAAAGCACUGAGAAAAUAGUGCCUGACACAUAGUAAGCACUAUAUUAUGUUUGUUAAAUAAAUAUCUCAGCAGCUGGAGCUGUUCAGAAACACAAUACAUAUUAUUUAGGAAACAAGUUGCUAUUUUGAAAAACAGAGAAAAUGUGUCGCUUCUUCAGAUCUAUCUAGGAUUUAGCAUUUCGAGACACAAAGAAUUGUUUCUCCUUUGCAAUAUAUUCUUAACUAGAAGUUCCAGAGGGUGGCAGACGGUCAGGGAUAGCGAGAGAAGAAAGUCAACAUCAUAUUCCCGGGGGGCAGAUCUAGGGGGCCAGCAGGAAUUGCAGUGCAGCCUCUGAAGGUUUUAUCAGCCCAGCGGUGAGCACUGACUUAAGCUUAUCUCUUCCAACCUGUUCCACAGGCCAGAGGUUCUAUAAAUUGUUAAUAGGUGUGUUUCGAAGAUGUUCCUAAAUAAAAUAAGUUUGACAAACCCUUGGAUAAACACAUUUAAAUAACAGUCCUUACAGCUUUAAAAAUAUUUAAUAUGCAUUUCAAUACUGCAAGAAACACAUAUUAUGGAUCAGAUCCCAAAUUUAUUUCACUAUGAUUUCCUUUUUCUCCCCUUUAUCAUACAACUAUUAUUAUAUUCCAAAGGUAGAAAAUAGAACUUCAUUAGACAAGUAGUAGUUUGUUUGUUUUUGGUCCUUAUAUUCCAUGGAGAAGAACUGAAUAAGCAAAUUAGUUUAGAAAGAAAGAAUAAAAUGUUAUUUAUAACUAGCAACUGAUAACGUUUUACAACUUAAACAUACUUUCAUAUACAUUAUUUUCUUCAGUAGCAUAUUUUCUUUGUUUGUACUCACUUCCUAACCCUCUACCUCAUUUCCCAUUUCUUGAAAUCAAAAGGUUAGGCACACCUAAGGACCCAGACAUUCCAGUCCCAAGUAAAUAUCUCCUCGUAAAGCAGUUUGCUUAUCUGAGCUAAAGGACAUUCAUUGCAACAUUGGGAGCAAAAAAGGAGAAAUCAUCUAAUGUUUACAAAAGGGGGAAUGGGUAAACAAAAUUCAGGCAGCCAAUACGUGUUGGUUACAAUGAAUCACCUAUCUCUGUGUGUAACUACGGAUAAAUCUUUAAAGCAUAAUUUUAAGUGAAAAUUAAUAGAACAUAGUUAAAAGAUGCAACUAUAUGAUAUUUUAAAUCAUCGGCAAAUAGUAAUGAGAAAGAAGAGUUAGUAUAGGUAAUGAUGACAGGGUGAAGUGAGUUAAUUGUGCAUCCCUUAGGUAAUUAAAGGAUUGUUAAUAUAAGGCUUAAGAAAUUAGGAGAGAUGCAGUUGUAUUAAAUGCCCUUCCCUUUACUGUCUCUUGUGUUGCUCUGUACUUACUGAGAAUCACGAUCCAGAUUUCCUUUAUCCACCCCUCUGCUAAUGACACAAACAUGUACAUUUCCACCUCACACUUCUCCUUUGAAUAGUGAGCCUGUAUAUCUUUUGGCCCCCUUGAAUAUCUCACAGACAACUCAAGUGACAUGUCCCAAGUGAUUCAGUAUUAUACACUUCUUUUUCUCUGCCACAAAGAAAUAAAAAAGUUCCUCCUCUUCUUGGAUAGUCCAUAUCUUCCAAGUGACUCUCAAGCCGAAAUCUGCUUGUUAAUCCCCGUUCACCACCAAACAAUAUCAUCAAACCCUUUCAGUUCUUUCUCCUAAAUUUCUAGUCAGCCCAGCCCCUCCUCUCCAUUGCUUCUCCCGCUGCCCUUAUUUGACUUAUUCUAAUAAUUGUUUCUUGUGUUACUGUGAUACCUCCUUAAAUGUCUCUGUGCCUCUAGUCCUACUGUUCUCAGAAAAAAAUCCUCCACAUGUUUGUAAGCUCGUUCCACCCUCCGUGUGUCAUAUCUCAGCUCUUCAUAAAAUCAUUUGAUGGUAUCCCUUAAUUUUUAGAUGAAAUGUAAACAACUUGGCAUGGCUUCAAAAAGUUCCCAUGCUUUAACACUGCUAAUCCCUUUAACUAUUCCAUCUUACCACCCAUUCUUUCUUUUUCUCCUUCCCUUCUUCUUCUCCACCCUUGGCUCUCCUAGACUUCAGGCAUAAUAACCUACACAUCUUUUUCUGUAUGUUUCUGUUUGCCCAUAAUGCCCUUUAUAACCCUGGUCCUCCAGUGUUCCUUCAUUUCCCUUAUUCCUGUUAAGGAAUACAAUUACCUUGUAUCUUUUUUAUUUGAAUAACUUUAAUUUGGAAAAUAACUUAUACUUGUGAAUGCCUUAAAAAGGAAAUAAAUUUGUUAAAGUCAAGUUCUGAAAAAUAGAAAAUUGAUAAGAUAAUGGUUAUGACAGGAGUUCCCGUUGUGGAUCAGUGGGUUAAGAACCUGAUAUAGUGUUGGUGACAUGGGUUCGAUCCCUGGCCUCACUCAGUGGGUUAAGGAUCCAGUGUUGCCACAGGCUGCAGUGAACAUCACAGAUGCAACUUGGAUUUGACCCCUAGCCCAGGAACUUCCAUGUGCUGCGUU